AGAGUUUGAUCCUGGCUCAGAUUGAACGCUGGCGGCAUGCCUUACACAUGCAAGUCGAACGGCAGCACGAGAGCUUGCUCUUGGUGGCGAGUGGCGAACGGGUGAGUAAUAUAUCGGAACGUACCCUAGAGUGGGGGAUAACGUAGCGAAAGUUACGCUAAUACCGCAUACGAUCUACGGAUGAAAGUGGGGGAUCGCAAGACCUCAUGCUCAUGGAGCGGCCGAUAUCUGAUUAGCUAGUUGGUGGGGUAAAAGCUCACCAAGGCGACGAUCAGUAGCUGGUCUGAGAGGACGACCAGCCACACUGGAACUGAGACACGGUCCAGACUCCUACGGGAGGCAGCAGUGGGGAAUUUUGGACAAUGGGCGCAAGCCUGAUCCAGCAAUGCCGCGUGAGUGAAGAAGGCCUUCGGGUUGUAAAGCUCUUUUGUCAGGGAAGAAACGGUGGACUCUAAUACAGAUCACUAAUGACGGUACCUGAAGAAUAAGCACCGGCUAACUACGUGCAAGCAGCCGCGGUAAUACGUAGGGUGCAAGCGUUAAUCGGAAUUACUGGGCGUAAAGCGUGCGCAGGCGGUUGUGCAAGACAGAUGUGAAAUCCCCGGGCUCAACCUGGGAAUUGCAUUUGUGACUGCACGGCUAGAGUGUGUCAGAGGGGGGUAGAAUUCCACGUGUAGCAGUGAAAUGCGUAGAGAUGUGGAGGAAUACCGAUGGCGAAGGCAGCCCCCUGGGAUAACACUGACGCUCAUGCACGAAAGCGUGGGGAGCAAACAGGAUUAGAUACCCUGGUAGUCCACGCCCUAAACGAUGUCUACUAGUUGUCGGGUCUUAAUUGACUUGGUAACGCAGCUAACGCGUGAAGUAGACCGCCUGGGGAGUACGGUCGCAAGAUUAAAACUCAAAGGAAUUGACGGGGACCCGCACAAGCGGUGGAUGAUGUGGAUUAAUUCGAUGCAACGCGAAAAACCUUACCUACCCUUGACAUGUCUGGAAUCCUUGAGAGAUCAGGGAGUGCUCGAAAGAGAAUCAGAACACAGGUGCUGCAUGGCUGUCGUCAGCUCGUGUCGUGAGAUGUUGGGUUAAGUCCCGCAACGAGCGCAACCCUUGUCAUUAGUUGCUACGAAAGGGCACUCUAAUGAGACUGCCGGUGACAAACCGGAGGAAGGUGGGGAUGACGUCAAGUCCUCAUGGCCCUUAUGGGUAGGGCUUCACACGUCAUACAAUGGUACAUACAGAGGGCCGCCAACCCGCGAGGGGGGGCUAAUCCCAGAAAGUGUAUCGUAGUCCGGAUUGUAGUCUGCAACUCGACUACAUGAAGUUGGAAUCGCUAGUAAUCGCGGAUCAGCAUGUCGCGGUGAAUACGUUCCCGGGUCUUGUACACACCGCCCGUCACACCAUGGGAGCGGGUUUCACCAGAAGUGGGUAGCCUAACCGCAAGGAGGGCGCUCACCACGGUGGGAUUCGUGACUGGGGUGAAGUCGUAACAAGGUA
rnacentral:rRNA from 1 species